UAAGGAAUAUUGCGCAAUGGGCGAAAGCCUGACGCAGCGACGCCGCGUGGGGGAUGAAGGUCUUCGGAUUGUAAACCCCUUUCGGGAGGGAAGAUGGAAUGGGGUAACCCAUUCGGACGGUACCUCCAGAAGCAGCCACGGCUAACUUCGUGCCAGCAGCCGCGGUAAUACGAAGGUGGCAAGCGUUAUUCGGAUUUACUGGGCGUACAGGGAGCGUAGGCGGUUUGGUAAGCCCUCUGUGAAAUCUUCAGGCUUAACCUGGAAAAGUCGGGGGGGACUGCUGGGCUAGAGGACGGGAGAGGAGCGCGGAAUUCCCGGUGUAGCGGUGAAAUGCGUAGAGAUCGGGAGGAAGGCCGGUGGCGAAGGCGGCGCUCUGGAACGUUUCUGACGCUGAGGCUCGAAAGCGUGGGGAGCAAACAGGAUUAGAUACCCUGGUAGUCCACGCCUUAAACUAUGAAUACUAAGUGUCGGCGGUUUACCGCCGGUGCCGCAGCUAACGCAUUAAGUAUUCCGCCUGGGAAGUACGGCCGCAAGGUUA
rnacentral:rRNA from 1 species